CAGCCCGCACCCCCACCACUCUCUCCUCUCUCACUCGUUCCUAAUCUCUCCAACCGCACACACCACCCGCCGCCAGCCCCAACUCUCCGGCAACCCGCCUCCCCCCGCCACCCACCUCCGGUGACGCGCCGCACCCAGCACUUCCCACCUCCGGCGACGCGCCACGACCACCGCACCCUUCCUCCUCCCUCGUGCCGCGCGCUGCCCUGAACCCUGCCUCCUCCCUCGCACCACCCCCACUGCCCCCCGAGCGUGUCCGUCCCUCCACGGAUCCAAGCUCGCGCGCCACCGCCCCUCCCCCCACGCCGAGCUCGCACGCCACCGCCGCCGGCACCCCCAACUGGCCGCCCCUCGUCAGUUUGUGCGUUCCAUCCACACCAAAAUCGCCGUCCCCAGCUUCCCGUGGAUCCCUGCGCGCCGCCGCCCACCAGAAGGAUGCUCUCGUGCUCCCCGAUGCCGCUUUCUUUAAGCAUUCAUGCGCUCCAAAAGUCAACACGACACAGCUGCUUCCUUCGGCAACACCUCCUACCGGCGCCGGCGAUUCUGAGGUUACCUCGUUAGUAGUUCAACUUUGCUAAAUCCUGUAGUUAACCAUUGCUAAAAAUCAUCUUAGAAAUUAUCUCGUUUAAAUAGUUCACCUUUUCUAAAAACUGUAGUUCUCUGGUUAGAAAAACAAUAGUUAUCUCUGCAAAAAAGUAUGACAAUCUUUUGGUAAAGUCUCAAUUUCUUCUCAGUUUUAGUGUACGCUCGCUGGCGAUGCGUCCAGCAUGCUUGCGGUGAUAGCGCCAUAGUGGCCACCACUAAUGUCAUUGGCGGCCAGCAUGCUUGCACAAAAAAUAGCUAGCUAGGUGUACAGGAUCGUCUAUUUUAUCCCCUGAAACAGGGUGCUCAGGACGUCUAUUUUAUUUUCUGAAACACUAGCUAGGUGUUCCCAGUUCAGUACAUGGACUACCAUCAGCUCUAGUUGCUGCUUCCUGCCACCAACGAAUUGCGCAAGUUCAAAGAGUGUCGCAUGACAAAUUCAAAAAGUGUUGUAUGGCAAGUUCAGAAUUUUGGUUUCGUGAGAAGUGUGAUUUUUGGACAAUAUUUUGUGCAAUUCAUUUGUUCAUCUUCAGAACUUGGAGAUGUGAAGUCUACUUUUUUCUAUGACGAAGGUACACAUGAGCUCCAUCUCCAAUGGUUAUCCGCCCUAGUGCUUCAAAGAUGCUUAUUUUGUUUUCCCCGUGACGCAGCGAGGAUGAUAGUGACGACACUUGCAAAAUUGUUUUCUGUGUUGCUAUGUUGCCAGUCCAAAGUGUGGUGAAGAUGUAGUCCUGGGUGUGUAGAUGAUGUGGUGUGUGUCUGGUUGUGUGUGUGUGCAUGAUGAUUGGUGGCUGUUGUGUGUGUGUGCAGGGUACGUCCGGCGACAGCGGGUAGGCGGCAAGUGUACUGGUGAGCAGCUACUGAACUGAUUCUGACACUGCAACAUUAAUCCACUCUGCCUCCUCCGACGAGUUCUUCACUCCAAGUUCUCCCAUGAGGUCGUCUCUGGUUUGAGAAAGAUCAUUCAACUUCCAAUCUAUUUGGACUGAUAGUUCAACUUCUUCUGUACAGAAGGUUCAGGACCCAACCCAACCAGCGUCGCCAUGGCAUGGCGCCUACUGGCGAAGGACCACCACCUACCCGACGACGUGCCCAAACCCGCCGACGAGGCCUGCCACCCCAAACCUCCUCCUUCCUCCUCGCAUCGGGAUGAGCAAGAUCCAGCCGACGCCUGAAGCCCAUCCCACCAUUGUACCUCCCCCUUCCCCUCGCUGCACUGACCGGUGUGCCACAGCGCCGCCGCCAAGUGCGCGUAUGGAAGGCCGAGAAGUUCUAUUGCUCGUAUACGCCAAGUUCAGAGAAGUUGCCGCCAACGGCGCCGGAGCAACGGGUACUAUAAGUAUUAGACGGCAAGUGUAUUGAGGUGAGCAGCAAGACGAGGCGUGAAGCAUGCCAUCAUGUGUAUGCGGCGAGCUGCUACAACACUAGUGCGGCUACUGUCACAGAUGAACUUGGCUGGUCGAAGCUGCUUGUACUAAACAUGUGUGUCUGUGUUAUCUUUGGUAGUCAAUGAUGCAGACUAAACAUGUGUGCAUGUGUUAUCAUAGGCAGUCAAUGCUUGUAGCUGCUUGGGGGGACGCAAACAGUACAUGUUAAUUAGUCUUGGUUUGUGGUUAGACAUGCAAACAGUACAUGUGUGUACUGUUGCUCUUGCUUAUUAAAGCCUGCAUCGAUAGUUAAUCUUGAACUGGAUGUGUUAUUCUAUGUUAGGUGAAUGAAGCCUCGGGGCCAGCAGCCACCUGCGCUACAGAAUACAAGUGUUUACAGUUUGCUCA